ACGACUUGAUCGACUCUGAUUCUGGUCCGGUGAGGAGAGUAUUCAGCACCGGAGAUCUGCACCAGCAGUGUGGUAGGAGGGCAGAGAGUCCAUUGUCAAAUGAGAGUAAUGCCAUCAUUGAAGAAAUGAGCAGAGCCUGCCGCUACAGUCCCCAGGAAAAGAAACAGAGGAUUCAAAGAUAUCGAUUUAAAAGAAAUCUCCGCAACUUCAACAAGAAGAUUAAGUAUGCAUGUAGGAAAACAUUAGCAGACAGCAGGCCACGCAUCCGAGGACGCUUCAUUAGAAAUAAAGAAAUUCAAAACAAUCCUCAAGUUGAA